GCUGGGCGUGGUGGCGCAUGCCUUUAAUCCCAGCACUUUGGGAGGCCGAGGCGAGCGGAUCGCUUGAGCUCAGGAGUUCGAGGCCGGCCUGGGCAACACAGCGAAACCUCGUCUCUA
rnacentral:sRNA from 1 species